AGCAGUAGCCGCGGUAAUACGGAGGGAGCUAGCGUUGUUCGGAAUUACUGGGCGUAAAGCGCGCGUAGGCGGUUACUCAAGUCAGAGGUGAAAGCCCGGGGCUCAACCCCGGAACUGCCUUUGAAACUAGGUGACUAGAAUCUUGGAGAGGUCAGUGGAAUUCCGAGUGUAGAGGUGAAAUUCGUAGAUAUUCGGAAGAACACCAGUGGCGAAGGCGACUGACUGGACAAAGACUGACGCUCAGGUGCGAAAGCGUGGGGAGCAAACAGGAUUAGAGACCCCGGUAGUCCCUGUCUCUUAUAC
rnacentral:rRNA from 1 species